UACGUAGGUGGCAAGCGUUAUCCGGAUUUAUUGGGCGUAAAGAGAACGCAGGCGGUCUUUUAAGUCUGAUGUGAAAGCCUUCGGCUUAACCGGAGUAGUGCAUUGGAAACUGAGAGACUUGAGUGCAGAAGAGGAGAGUGGAACUCCAUGUGUAGCGGUGAAAUGCGUAGAUAUAUGGAAGAACACCAGUGGCGAAAGCGGCUCUCUGGUCUGUAACUGACGCUGAGGUUCGAAAGCGUGGGUAGCAAACAGG
rnacentral:rRNA from 1 species